rnacentral:rRNA from 1 species
GCAAAACGCGAAGAACCUUACCAGGCCUUGACAUGCAGAGAACUUUCCAGAGAUGGAUUGGUGCCUUCGGGAACUCUGACACAGGUGCUGCAUGGCUGUCGUCAGCUCGUGUCGUGAGAUGCUGGGUUAAGUCCCGUAACGAGCGCAACCCUUGUCCUUAGUUACCAGCACGUCAUGGUGGGCACUCUAAGGAGACUGCCGGUGACAAACCGGAGGAAGGUAGGGAUGACGUCAAGUCAUCAUGGCCCUUACGGCCUGGGCUACACACGUGCUACAAUGGUCGGUACAGAGGGUUGCCAAGCCGCGAGGUGGAGCUAAUCUCACAAAACCGAUCGUAGUCCGGAUCGCAGUCUGCAACUCGACUGCGUGAAGUCGGAAUCGCUAGUAAUCGCGAAUCAGAAUGUCGCGGUGAAUACGUUCCCGGGUCUUGUACACACCG